CGGCGGACGGGUGAGUAACACGUGGAUAACCUACCUAUAAGACUGGGAUAACUUAGGGAAACCGGAGCUAAUACCGGAUAAUAUUUUGAACCGCAUGGUUCAAAAGUGAAAGACGGUCUUGCUGUCACUUAUAGAUGGAUCCGCGCUGCAUUAGCUAGUUGGUAAGGUAACGGCUUACCAAGGCAACGAUGCAUAGCCGACCUGAGAGGGUGAUCGGCCACACUGGAACUGAGACACGGUCCAG
rnacentral:rRNA from 1 species